ACUACGGGUGGCAGCAGUGGGGAAUAUUGGGCAAUGGGCGCAAGCCUGACCCAGCAACGCCGCGUGAAGGAAGAAGGCUUUCGGGUUGUAAACUUCUUUUAUCAGGGACGAAGCAAGUGACGGUACCUGAUGAAUAAGCCACGGCUAACUACGUGCCAGCAGCCGCGGUAAUACGUAGGUGGCAAGCGUUAUCCGGAUUUACUGGGUGUAAAGGGCGUGUAGGCGGGAGUGCAAGUCAGAUGUGAAAACUAUGGGCUCAACCCAUAGCCUGCAUUUGAAACUGUACUUCUUGAGUGCUGGGGAGGCAAUCGGAAUUCCGGGUGUAGCGGUGAAAUGCGUAGAUAUACGGAGGAACACCAGUGGCGAAGGCGGAUUGCUGGACAGCAACUGACGCUGAGGCGCGAAAGCGUGGGGAGCAAACAGGAUUAGAUACCCCUGUAGUC
rnacentral:rRNA from 1 species